rnacentral:rRNA from 1 species
AUUGAACGCUGGCGGCAUGCCUUACACAUGCAAGUCGAACGGUAACAGGUUAAGCUGACGAGUGGCGAACGGGUGAGUAAUGUAUCGGAACGUGCCCAGUUGUGGGGGAUAACUGCUCGAAAGAGCAGCUAAUACCGCAUACGACCUGAGGGUGAAAGCGGGGGAUCGCAAGACCUCGCGCAAUUGGAGCGGCAGAUAUCAGAUUAGGUAGUUGGUGGGGUAAAGGCUCACCAAGCCGACGAUCUGUAGCUGGUCUGAGAGGACGACGAGCCACAUUAGGACUGAGACACGGCGCAGACUCCUACGGGAGGCAGCAGUGGGGAAUUUUGGACAAUGGGGGCAACCCUGAUCCAGCAAUGCCGCGUGAGUGAAGAAGGCCUUCGGGUUGUAAAGCUCUUUUGUCAGGGAAGAAACGGUAGUAGCUAAUAUCUACUACUAAUGACGGUACCUGAAGAAUAAGCACCGGCUAACUACGUGCCAGCCGCCGCCGUAAGAC